rnacentral:rRNA from 1 species
CGGAUCCGCGCCGCUGCAGAGUUUGAUCCUGGCUCAGGACGAACGCUGGCGGCGUGCUUAACACAUGCAAGUCGUAACAAGGUAA